AAGUAAAAAUUUAAUAUUUUGUGGGUAAAUGGUUCAUUAUUUGAAGUAACUUUAAAGAUUUAGUUUUAGUAUAGGAAUAGAAUAAAUUAGUUUAUUGAUAGUAGAUUAGUAUUGUAAAAGAAGAUUGAAAAAGGUGAAAAUAAUUUUAUGGAAUAGUAGGCUUUCAUGCUGUACCUUGUGUAUCAGGGUUUAUUAAAAUAAGGAUCAAGAGUUUAAUUUUUCCCGAAUUGAGAAGAGUUAAUUUAUUAUGCUAGUUAGUGUAUUAUCAUUAUUAGAAAUAGUGAGUUGGUAGUGAAAUGUUAGUCGGUUCUCAAGAUAUCUGGUUCUCUAAGAGAUGAAUUUAAUUCAGCAUUUACGGGUAUUCUACAGUUUUAUGUGUAGGUUAUUAGUGGAGUGUAAUAUUUUGGGGGAUAAGCUUCAGAAUAGUUGUUAUAAUUAUUAUAAGGUGUAUUAAGAAGUGUAGGCUUUAAAUUAGCCAACAUUUAAAUAAUGUUAUAAAUUAUUUUAUUGAAAUAUGAUUUUAUAGUAGUAUUAAAUUGCGUAUUGGAGUGAAUUAAUAAAUUUGUUGAUAAUUGUAAUAAUGAUGAAAUUAGUAUACCAGGAAUGUAAUUAAUUUUAAUUUUGGUAAAUUAUACAAAGGAACUAGGCAAAAUUUAAUGUUCGCCUGUUUAUCAAAAACAUCUCUUUUUGAGUUGAAUAAAAGGUUGGGCCUGCCCCCUGACGUUAGUUAAAGGGCCGCGGUAUUUUGACCGUGCAAAGGUAGCAUAAUCAUUAGUCUUUUAAUUGAAGGCUGGAAUGAAUGGUUUGACGAAACAUUAACUGUCUCUGUAGAAUUUGAUAGAAUUUAACUUCUGAGUUAAAAGGCUUAGAUGAAUGUAAAAGACGAGGAGACCCUAUAGAUCUUUAUAUGAAGUUACAAUUAUUUUAUUUAGGUGUAGUGGUGAUAGUUGAGGCAUCAUAUUUUGUUGGGGUGACAUGAAGAUAAAAAUAACUCUUUAUAUUAUACACAUUGAUUUAUGAAUGAUUGAUCCAUUUUUAGUGAUUGUAAGAUAAAGUUACCUUAGGGAUAACAGCGUAAUUUUUUUUGAGAGUUCAUAUCGACAAAAAAGAUUGCGACCUCGAUGUUGGAUUAAGGAAUAUGUUUAGGUGUAGAAGUUUAAUUAAUAAGUCUGUUCGACUUUUAAAUCCUUACAUGAUCUGAGUUCAGACCGGCGUGAGCCAGGUCGGUUUCUAUCUUUAUAUUGUUAUAAUAUUUUAGUACGAAAGGACCAAGUAUUAGAAAUAGUUUUUAGGUAUUGACAAAAAUUAAUACUAUUU
rnacentral:rRNA from 1 species